GGAGGUAAGUUCCUAUCAUAAUUUUGUUGGAAAUGCAUUAUCUGAAAUAUCCUAAUGUGCAAAAUUCAUCUUUAUAGUUAGUAACAGAAGAAAUUGGAUGGCUUGAUUUUUAUGCCACCUGUUUUCCUCUGAGCAAUCAAGAAAGGAAAAGAUCAAAGCAGCAUCCAAUUCAAGCAGAGAAAGAGAUUAUCCUAUCCACAGUAUUUACUGUUGGUUAUGAUGUUUUCUCUGGCUUUGCUCACUUCAGCCGUUCAACUCAACAGCCUUUAGAUGCAAAAUCACUGAAAUUUUUGCUGCAA
rnacentral:misc_RNA from 1 species